GUGUCUGUCCGCAGCUGGCGUGCGAAUGUAAAGACAAACUAAGCAUGUAGUACCGAGGAUGUAGGAAUUUCGGACGCGGGUUCAACUCCCGCCAGCUCCACCA
rnacentral:tRNA from 2 species